UGAUCACAUGACCUGCUGACAAAUUUACACUUCCUGUCAGCGAAGAAAGAACAGGAUCCUCAUCAGCCUCCGUCGCUGCCGGGUCAAAACAGUCUGGGGUUUCUCAUUACAGUUCAGUUUUAUUUUGAUGUGAAUUUCUGUCAAAUUCAAUUAGUUUUAGUUUUUAUGGUAUUUUGCUGGUUUUUAUUUGUUAUUGGGGUCUGCCCAUAGCAACGCGUAGGGAGAGCAGUGACUGACUUGCUUCACAAGGUACCUGCCCUGCAAUGCAUGGAGGGCAGUCCAUUAUUCUACACGCAAUAGAACGUCUCUUUACUUAUUUAUACAUUUAUUUAUUUUUCUUCCAUCAACCUGAAUGCGGCUCGAUGGGGAGCAAUCACGUGUAGAGGGAUUCCAUUUUACGAUGGCGACGUAAAAAGUGAAAAACGAGCAAAAUUUCCAACUGCCGAAACACAGAGUGCAACUGAAACCAACUGCCGCUCCAUUAGAGUGUGAAAUGAAGUGGAUUUUUUUUCCCAUUUUUUUUCUCCGAAGAGUUUUUGCAGCGCUAGUGGCUCGUAUUUUUGCGACAGUAGGCAGACAGGAAAGCGGGUGAGGAAAGGGGGGAAGAUAUAGCUCAUGACAUUGAUACGCAUGCCUGCUCCGGUAAAAUGUUUUAGAAAUUUCUCUAGGGCUUACGGUUUUCUGGCAAAAUAAUGCGCCAGGGUAACUGACAGGCUGAACCAUUCGUUUUUAUGCUUUUCUGAAAAAGUUCAGACUUCAGCACACACUAUCUUUCUCUCAUCGCUGCUAUUACUGUGAGUGAGCUACAGAUCUCAGUCGCGGUACUAUGGGAGAUGACAAACAGCCCUCUCAUACUCUUCAAACAGUUUUCAAAUACGUAUCUCGGUUCUCAAACGGGAAGGAGUUGUUCGGAGUGCUUUUUCCAUAUUAACUGACUGGGUGUCUCACAAAGAUAGAAUUCUUUUUCCAUCUUUCUGUCUCACAGGCAGUUAGCAGAUGAUCUAUUACCAUAGCAACGGAACACAGCAGGGCAGUGCAGCUGAUUAGGACUACAAAAACGCAUCACUGUAGUUCUAAUUAACACUCAGUUAAAACAGAGGGCUGAGCUGCCAUUUAGAACUACUGGCUGUUUUGGGCAUUUUAUAACUGAUAUAUACAUGUACCAGUAUGUAUAUAGGCAAUUCAUUAGCAUUAGCCAUUUAGCUUAAAUAAGCUAUUAGCUAUUUUCUUAUUUAUUAGCCAUGUGUAACCCGGGUGUAAAUUUUGACUUCCAUUUCCCCCAUUAUCCAGUUUUCUGAACUCCCUGUUAUUUUAAAUCUCGCGAUACCGCUAAUAUAAUACCAGCGAUUCUCGCGAGAUUGUCCAUAGCCAAUCGCUGUUGGGCUCUGUAUCACAUGUACCAACACCGCCCAUUCGGCUAGGUAUAUUAGUUGGAGCAGGGAAGAGUAAGAUUAGGACGCGCUGGGAGGAGCAGAGCUGCAGGAGCCGACUACAUGUACCCAGAAGGAGGUGGGGAAAAAAGCCCAUUGUGUGGGUGGAAACUGUCCACUGUAAAAGUGUGGAAUCGAAGGAUGGCGAGCUAGAACGUCUGGAAGGAAAGACUGCACUUUGUGCUGAAGAACUUCUGCUUCUCCUGCCUGGUGGUAGGAGGCUCUUGCAGCGAACGAACAAUUUUAAAUUCCAUUGUGAUCUGACUUUUUUGUCACUACGGACCUGCACCAAGUACGUCAACAACAGUUGAUUGGGACCUCUAACCAACCCCAGCUGGGGUAGAUGAACUAAAGGGUGGAGGUUCAUUGGAACUGUGGAACGGAUGAUUAUUGUUUUCUUUAGUUAUUGUUUUGUUUUCUUUUCUUUUCCUUUAUUUUUGUGCAUUUCUUUUGCUAUGGCAAAUCAGAUCUUGUAAAUAUGUAUAAAUACCCACAAUAUAAAUUCAAGACACCUGCAAACUGCAAAAUUUCUACUGUCUCCUCCUUCAUGAGUCGAUCCUAUUCUCAGAAUUUCUAAACCUAACUCAUUGAUCUUGGUUACUACCCAUUUACAUUUAUUGAGAAAAGUAUUACCUUUCAUUAAUAUGCUACAUUAAUUUAUGGCGAGCUAGCCAGGAGGAGUUGUACAGAGCUGAAGUCUUGCAGUUGCUAUUUUGUUUUUGCUAUUAUGGAUGUUUUGGCGAAAUAUGGGGUUAAAAUACCCAAUGCAGUGUUGAUUAAAUAUGCAACAAACACAGAAACUGAUAAUGAAGUAGCUGAUUUUCUGACAGGUUAUGGGUCAAUGGAAAAGUUUAAAUUUAUAACUGAUUCUGACUCAGA